GGUGGUAUAGACAAGUGGUUACGUCGUUGGGUUGUGGUUAUCGCAAGCACAGAUCCCCAAAGGUCGGGAGUUCGAACCUCUCUGCCACCA